rnacentral:rRNA from 1 species
GACGAACGCUGGCGGCGUGCCUAAUACAUGCAAGUUGAGCGAUGAAGCUUGGUGCUUGCACCAAUUUGAAGAGCAGCGAACGGGUGAGUAACGCGUGGGGAAUCUGCCUUUGAGCGGGGGACAACAUUUGGAAACGAAUGCUAAUACCGCAUAACAACUUUAAACAUAAGUUUUAAGUUUGAAAGAUGCAAUUGCAUCACUCAAAGAUGAUCCCGCGUUGUAUUAGCUAGUUGGUGAGGUAAAGGCUCACCAAGGCGAUGAUACAUAGCCGACCUGAGAGGGUGAUCGGCCACAUUGAGACUGAGACACGGCCCAAACUCCUACGGGAGGCAGCAGUAGGGAAUCUUCGGCAAUGGACGAAAGUCUGACCGAGCAACGCCGCGUGAGUGAAGAAGGUUUUCGGAUCGUAAAACUCUGUUGGUAGAGAAGAACGUUGGUGAGAGUGGAAAGCUCAUCAAGUGACGGUAACUACCCAGAAAGGGACGGCUAACUACGUG